GCGCGAAAACUUUGCAAUGCUGGCAACAGCGAUAAGGGAACCUCGAGUGCCAGGUUACAAAUCUGGCUGUCGAGAUGCCUAAAAAGCAUUGCAUAGCAAGGGCCGGGCAAGACCGGUGCCAGCCGCCGCGGUAACACCGGCGGCUCGAGUGGUAACCGUUAUUAUUGGGUCUAAAGGGUCUGUAGCCGGCCGGAUAAGUCUCUUGGGAAAUCUGGCAGCUUAACUGUCGGGCUUUCAGGAGAUACUGUCUGGCUCGAGGCCGGGAGAGGUGAGAGGUACUUCAGGGGUAGGGGUGAAAUCUUGUAAUCCUUGAAGGACCACCAGUGGCGAAGGCGUCUCACCAGAACGGACCUGACGGCAAGGGACGAAAGCUAGGGGCACGAACC
rnacentral:rRNA from 1 species